rnacentral:rRNA from 1 species
GAGUUUGAUCGUGGCUCAGAUUGAACGCUGGCGGCAGGCCUAACACAUGCAAGUCGAGCGGUAGAGAGAAGCUUGCUUCUCUUGAGAGCGGCGGACGGGUGAGUAAUGCCUAGGAAUCUGCCUGGUAGUGGGGGAUAACGUUCGGAAACGGACGCUAAUACCGCAUACGUCCUGCGGGAGAAAGCAGGGGACCUUCGGGCCUUGCGCUAUCAGAUGAGCCUAGGUCGGAUUAGCUAGUUGGUGGGGUAAUGGCUCACCAAGGCGACGAUCCGUAACUGGUCUGAGAGGAUGAUCAGUCACACUGGAACUGAGACACGGUCCAGACUCCUACGGGAGGCAGCAGUGGGGAAUAUUGGACAAUGGGCGAAAGCCUGAUCCAGCCAUGCCGCGUGUGUGAAGAAGGUCUUCGGAUUGUAAAGCACUUUAAGUUGGGAGGAAGGGCAGUAAGUUAAUACCUUGCUGUUUUGACGUUACGACAGAUAAGCACCGGCUAACUCUGUGCCAGCCGCCG